rnacentral:misc_RNA from 1 species
GAUCUCUAUUUCGGUAGGGAGAAAGUGGCGAACGGGUGAGUAACACGUUGGUGACCUGCCCCGAAGCGGGGGAUAACUCCUCGAAAGAGGAGCUAACACCGCAGAUGUCUGGAGCGUUAGAGGCUUUAGACUAAAACUUUGGUGCUUUGGGAGGGGCCUGCGGGCUAUCAGCUAGUUGGUGAUGUAACGGCUCACCAGGGGAAAGACGGCUAGGGGGCGUGAGAGCGUGACCCCCCACAAUUUCUCUCCAGAGACGGGAAAUACUCCUACNUGAUUCGUAUGGAGGU